AAGUCGCCUGCCAGGAUGACCGCGUCC
rnacentral:sRNA from 1 species